UACGGAGGGGACUAGCGUUGUUCGGAAUUACUGGGCGUAAAGCGCACGUAGGCGGAUUUGUAAGUCAGGGGUGAAAUCCCGGGGCUCAACCUCGGAACUGCCUUUGAUACUGCAAAUCUCGAGUCCGGAAGAGGUGAGUGGAAUUCCUAGUAUAGAGGUGAAAUUCGUAGAUAUUAGGAAGAACACCAGUGGCGAAGGCGGCUCACUGGUCCGGUACUGACGCUGAGACGCGAAAGCGUGGGGAGCGAACAGG
rnacentral:rRNA from 1 species